CUCUGACACAGGAGCAUUAUUACACUCCUAUAGCUUGGGGGAUAGUGUGUGAUCAGUAACGGCGUUAUGUUUACGGAGCAAGGGAAUUUUUCAUUUUCUAUAAUAAUAUCAACAACAAUUGAGAGCCUUUCAUGAAACUAUACUAGUACUAGAGAGAGGAGAAGAAUCAGACACAAUUUCACUCCCAUAAGAUAACUGACUAUUUGAUUCUAUUAAAGUAAUCGUUGUUAUUACUUAUCAUGUAUGGGGUUCUGUGCUACGCACAAAAGGUAUAAAGAGGAAUUUGAGAAGCAAUUUCUAUGCUCAAAGAGAGACAAAUCUACUCCUAAAUAACUUCAUACCAUGGUGAUAACACCAUAGUAAUUGCUUGCAUAAAGUGCUAUGCUAGCACAAAUGUAGGAGUGACCAAUUCUACAAAAGUUAUUAAACAAAGGUUGUGAAACAAAUGUAACAAAUGUUUGAGGCUGCUGGGACUGCCAGUAAGACCAAUCAGUCUUAGUCCUACAAGACGGUCUUCCAAACCCUAACUCAAUGACCAGUGGUUGAUUCAGUGACCACACAGACACACAGACUUAUUUAACUACCACCCCAUCAAGGCACAAGAUUUGUUUCAUUGGGAAAGUUUUUUUUUUAGGGCUAUUGUAUUCAGUUCUCUGCUUUCAUUUCAUAAACUGAGGUCAGGAAGCCAGUCCAGAAUAUGAGUAACUCUGAAGUCUUAUAAAAUUUCACAAGAAGGAAAGAUAAUUGCAUGUGUGUGCAGGGCCAGAUUUCAGGGAGGCGAUAGUCUUACUAGUCUCAAUGGAGACAAUGACUGAAACUAUUACUACUCAGUCUCUGCUUCUUCCGGAACAGCUGAGCAAAAGCGUUCUGACAUUGAGUCUUUUAAGCCUAGAUCGGCAUUAUUUCGUCUAACUGAUCAAGAAGUGUAUAAAAUGAUGUGGCCUUAUGUAGUAAACCUUUAGUCUCUGGCCUCUUGAGACCAGUUAAACCUUCCCAAUAUCCCAUGAUCCAUCAAUAAAUAUCACUGCCAGGCCUUAACUUAUAUUAAGCACUGGGGAAUCAAUAACAAAUGAGCCAUAAUCCCUGUCUUCCAGCAUUGUACACUUCAGGGAAGAGAAAAAUACCUAAACUGGCAAUUAAAAGUCUGAUUCCAGGGUGCUUCAUGAACUGAGGAAGGGUUCAGAUUGCAGGCCCUGGAGAGCUGAGAGGUGGAAGGAAGACUUCCUAGAUGAAGUAGUAUCUAAGCUAAGUCCUGAAAUACACGAAGGAGAAUCUAAGUGAAAAAGGAUUAGAGAAGGGUGCAUUUCAGGCAAAGGAAGCAAUAAAAACAAAGGCCCAAGAAGCAGAAAAAGGCAGGGUGCUGUCAGGACCCUAAAAAAGUUCUGAAUAGAUGGAACAUAGCAGGGAAGACAUGAAUGAUUGCGAGUGGAAAGAGAUACUGCUAGAAUUGUAUGCUAGUCAGUUUCUGUAAGUUCAGAUUUAUUUCAAAGGCAGCAAAACUUUGAAGGUUUUUAAUAGGGUAGUAUACGAGUGUGGUGUGUGUGUGUAUGUGUGUAAAGAGUACCCCAAAGGCUGGGGAAAAGUGGAUUAGUGGGGAUCAAGACUAAAGUUAGUAGACAAACUGGGAGGCUGUUUUGUGUCCCAGAAAGGAAACAAUGGAACACUGAAAUAAGAAUGGCAGUGUAUUAGAGACACAUUAGUGUAAUAAAGAAUCUUCAAGGACUUGAAAAGGAGAAUUGGCAGUUGAUUGGAUGUUGAAACUGAAGGAAAGGGAAGGCUCAAGGAUGUUUAAGUUUGGAUUUAGAAAUUGGAUAGAUAAUGGUCCUAUUUACUGAGAGCAGUAAUACUUCAUUUUUAAAUUUUUUUUUUUUUUUUUGCUUUUUUCCACUCAGAAGCAGGUUGUUACUUGAG
rnacentral:lncRNA from 1 species